rnacentral:rRNA from 1 species
GACGAACGCUGGCGGCGUGCCUAAUACAUGCAAGUCGAACGCAGUGGGGACGGGUGAGUAACACGUGGGUAACCUCCCAUCAGAGGGGAUAACACUUGGAAACAGGUGCUAAACCGAUACUGAUGGAUGGACCCGCGGUGCAUUAGCUAGUUGGUGAGGUAACGGCUAACCAAGGCCACGCUGCAUAGCCGACCUGGUAGGGUGAGCGGCCCGACUGGGACUGAGACACGGCCCAGACUCCUACGGGAGGCAGCAGUAGGGAAUCUUCGGCAAUGGACGAAAGUCUGACCCAGCAACGCCGCGUGAGGGAAGAAGGUUUUCGGAUCGUAAACCUCGUUUGUUAGAGAAGCGGUAUCUAACCAGAAAGCCACGGCUAACUACGUGCCAGCCGCCGCGGUAAUUC